GCUAUAAACACUGCAGGUGCAGGUAUCCCUCUGAAUUAACAUUUUCGUAUUCUUUGGGUAAAUACCCAGUAGUGCAAUUGCUGAAUUAUAGAGUUAAUUCUAUUUUUAAUUUCUUAAGAA